rnacentral:tRNA from 1 species
AGGAUUAUAGUUUAACUAAAACAUUUGAUUUGCAAUCAAUUAAUAUUGAAAUUAAAUUUC